UCGUGAGAUGUUGGGUUAAGUCCCGCAACGAGCGCAACCCUUGUCAUUAGUUGCUACAUUUAGUUGGGCACUCUAAUGAGACUGCCGGUGACAAACCGGAGGAAGGUGGGGAUGACGUCAAGUCCUCAUGGCCCUUAUGGGUAGGGCCUCACACGUCAUACAAUGGUCGGUACAGAGGGUUGCCAACCCGCGAGGGGGAGCCAAUCCCAUAAAGCCGAUCGUAGUCCGGAUCGCAGUCUGCAACUCGACUGCGUGAAGUC
rnacentral:rRNA from 1 species